rnacentral:rRNA from 1 species
CAUUACCNAAAUAUGNAAGCCGGACUGGGAUAGGGCCUCGCUGCCUUGCCCGUCUGGCGCCAUAUUCACCCAUGUCUUUUUGCGUACUACUUGUUUCCUUGGCGGGUCCGCCCGCCAAUUGGACCUUAUUCAAACCUUUUUUUCAGUUGCAAUCAGCGUCAGCAAAACAAAUGUAAUCAAUUACAACUUUCAACAACGGAUCUCUUGGUUCUGGCAUCGAUGAAGAACGCAGCGAAAUGCGAUAAGUAGUGUGAAUUGCAGAAUUCAGUGAAUCAUCGAAUCUUUGAACGCACAUUGCGCCCUUUGGUAUUCCAAAGGGCAUGCCUGUUCGAGCGUCAUUUGUACCCUCAAGCUUUGCUUGGUGUUGGGCGUCUUGUCUCUCUCCCGAGACUCGCCUUAAAAUCAUUGGCAGCCGGCCUACUGGUUUCGGAGCGCAGCACAUUAUUUGCGCUCUUGUCCAGCCGCGGUCGCGCGUCCAUGAAGCUUCUUUCAACCUUUUGACCUCGGAUCAGGUAGG